UUUACAGACAAGGAAACUAAUGAAUAGAGAAGAAGAGGACUUCAUGAAAUCCCCAGAAUUAGAAAUCUCUCUUUCUCGUCCUUCUCCUUCUAGCUCAGAAAAUGGCCGAAAGGUUUUGGCAAGCAACCUUCUUGGGAGAAAUGCAAAUACCAUUGAUUUUUCGAGGCCUCUCAUGGAUGAAGACAUGCUCCUUUUUACAAGUGUGGUCAGGUUCCCUGAUAACUCUUUGUAUGAUCAUGUGGUUGCAGUACCUUGCAGGAACGGGAACGUCAUUCUGAGGGUAGUCCACAUGCAAGUGUUCUAAAGUUGACAUCACUGCUUCAUCAUUCACCUCAUUUUCCCAGAACAGAAGCACCAAGAAAAUUAUCACCAUUAUUAUCAUCAGAGAUCCUUUUUUAAUAGCGAGAACAUUUAAAACCUACUCUUCGAAUAAUUUUGAAAUCUACAAAAUGGCAGCAUGGCCCAGGAGUGUGACUGGCAGUGAAGGAGCUGGGAAGACCUUGGAUGCAGGAAGGUCAUUUAAAGCAAAAGAUUAAGAAGCAGCAAUGCCCCUCUUGUGGCAAGAGUUGGCAGCGUGCGGUUGGUAUGUCAAUGCAUCCAAGGUCCAAGGGCCUGGAUUGUCUGCCAAAUGCUUGGGAGUUGUUUGAUCAGGUUGACAUGCUCCAACAGCAUUGUGGACUGGGCCCACACCUACGCUGAGGUGACCAAUGUCUCCAACUGUUGGAUCUGCUCCACCUUCCAGCAGCAGCUGCGGAGAGUUUGCCCUGGAACGCGUAUCCUGCUUCUGUUAAGAACUGGACAUGGCUAGAAGCUUGGGGUCCCACGGACAAUGGGUGGGAUGCCACAGGGCGGGCUUUGGAUAGGAGGCAUCACAAAACCCAUGGCAAACCUGGCCCUUGGCUGACUCAUAGUGUCCAUGAUGGAUGGAGCUGGCUAAUGGGAGAACACGUGGUGCCCCCAUUGCAGGUAUCACAAUGUAUAGAGCAGCACUGGGGUAAAGUCACUGUGGGAUGGUUGCCUACUGAGGUUUGUGCAAACAUAACAUGUGUCACCACACCAAGGGUGCAGUGGAACAAGCGGCCUUACGAAGGCCAGGCCCCCAUGGACUUUGUGCCCCCUGGGAGUUUAUGGGUCUGUGGGGACACAGGAUGGCCAUAUCUCCCAGCCAACUGGACUGGACAUUGUACCUGGGGUUGGCCCUAUGUGCCUGCCACUGGGCUUCCCACAUUGCCUAGUCGCCACAUAACUGGGAGCCACUGUGUUCCUGCUUUUUCCCAGUGCAGCAGGCCCUCUAGUGGUUCUAUCCCUUAGCAAUGACUAUCCCUGGAGCAGGCGUCAUUACUAUAGAAAAGCAAGUUGCAGCCUUUGCAGACCACACAGCUCGGUCCCGAGUUGCCCUCCUUUUGUUAACUGAUGAAGUUGAUCAGAUCAGGAAGGUGGUGCUGCAAAACCAGAUGGCCUUAGACAUAGUCGCAGCUGCCCAAGGUGGCACCUGUGCCCUUGUAGGGACACAAGGUUGUACAUUUAUCCCUGACAACCACUGGAAUAUAAUGGCAGCUUCACAAGGGGUGUCAUAGGAGAUUAAGGUGAUUGAGCACCUUACUGAUGACCCCCUGCAGAGAUGGUGGGCGUCUUUGGGAUCUGGCCUACAAUGGGCUCUCAUAAUCAUAGGUAGCAUAGCAGGAAUAUUAGUGGUAGGUUGUUGCUGUCUGUGUUGUUGCUGUGGCCUAUGGGUCCAGGGUGCUGCCACAUGUGCAUGGGUCCCCACCAAGAGGAUUCCCUGGCCUAGAGGGUGGAGUGUAAGGAACAUGGCUGUGUGCAGGCAAGCAGGCAUAGGCCAAGGUAAACAGCCUAGAUGACUCAGUGGGAUUGGGGCACAAGUGCACAGUCCCAUAUCUUAUAUAAUCAUAGCCGUGUAGGCACAACAUAAAGAAGCUCCCCACCUGGCUCUCAGUCACUAUCGUUUGUGUAGUGUAUAAAUGUAACACUGACCCUGUGAAGGGGCUGCUGAAUAAAGCCAUGUCUCAUUUA
rnacentral:lncRNA from 1 species